UCAGGCCUAACACAUGCAAGUCGAGCGAGACCUUCGGGUCUAGCGGCGGACGGGUGAGUAACGCGUGGGAAUAUGCCCUUCGGUUCGGAAUAGCCCCGGGAAACUGGGAGUAAUACCGGAUACGGUCUACGGACGAAAGAUUUAUCGCCGAAGGAUUAGCCCGCGUUGGAUUAGGUAGUUGGUGGGGUAAUGGCCUACCAAGCCGACGAUCCAUAGCUGGUUUGAGAGGAUGAUCAGCCACACUGGGACUGAGACACGGCCCAGACUCCUACGGGAGGCAGCAGUGGGGGA
rnacentral:rRNA from 1 species